GCGGCCGCGCCCGGUGUUGGCGGUGACGGUGCUUUGCUGCCUGUGCAGGCUCGUCCCGUCUCGCUGAAGGAAAGCUACCGUGUGCCCAAUUCUCCCGCAGGACGGAUGAGAGCUCUGUGCAUUUUUUUCAGUGUGAAGCAGCUGCAUCAUGAUCUGUUGGAUGAAUAAGUGGGCAAUGAAGGAGAAGAAAGCAUGAUACAGCAUUGGCUGAGAGAACUGCAUAGGGCUGGUUGGACUGGUCUGCACAAAUAAAGAAUUGAUUCCAAACUGCCCAGUACUCCAGCUGAAUCACAAGCCUUUGCAGCACUGCUCAGCUUGAGCUAUUGU